rfam:Anopheles farauti strain FAR1 unplaced genomic scaffold supercont2.15, whole genome shotgun sequence.
GCCUUUGGAACUCCGUUUUCUAACCUCCACGUGGUGCUGGCUGGAAUAUGGUCUUUCCUUUAUGGUCGAUCAUAUACAAAUAGAAACGG